CCCUUAGACGUUCUGGGCCGCACGCGCGCUACACUGGUCGAUGCAACGAGUUUCUUUCCUUGGCCGACAGGCCUGGGCAAUCUUUGAACAUCGAUCGUGAUCGGGAUAGAUUCUUGUAAUUUUUGAUCUUAAACGAGGAAUUCCUAGUAAACGCAAGUCAUCAGCUUGCAUUGAUUACGUCCCUGCCCUUUGUACACACCGCCCGUCGCACCUACCGAUUGAAUGGUCCGGUGAAAUCUCCGGACUGGCGUGAGUCGGAGCAAUCUGACAAACGCCGGAAAGUUGAUUAAACCUUACCAUUUAGAGGAAGGUGAAGUCGUANCA
rnacentral:rRNA from 1 species